GUGGUAUAACGUCAAUAAUGUUGUUUUGUUUACACCCCCCUCCUCCGCUCACUUUCAUGGACUAGUGUGUAGGUAAUUUGUCAGUUAAAGAGGAACCAAUCGUGGUAUAACGUCAAUAAUGUUGUUUUGUUUACACCCCCCUCCUCCGCUCACUUUCAUGGACUAGUGUGUAGGUAAUUUGUCAGUUAAAGAGGAACCAAUCG
rnacentral:lncRNA from 1 species